rnacentral:RNase_P_RNA from 1 species
GAAGCGGACCGGACGGUCGUCGGCUGCGACGGUCUCGCGCGAGAUCGGCGCGGCGGGAGGAAAGUCCGGGCUUCGAAGGACGCGGUGGUGGAUAACGUCCACCGGCCGAAAGGCUAGGGAAAGUGCAACAGAAAGCAAACCGCCUCGCGCGUCGCAAGACGCGCGCGGUAAGGGUGAAACGGUGCGGUAAGAGCGCACCAGCAGACCGGGCGACCGGUCUGGCUCGGCAAACCCCACCGGAAGCAAGGCCAAACAGGGAGCAAGCGGCACGGCGCGAUGAGGGAACAUAUUUGGGGUGGCACUGGCUUUGCCAGUGCGAGCUUGGACGCCACUGGCAAAGCCAGUGCCACCCCGACACCAAGUUCCCUCGCCGCGCCGUGCCGCUGCGGAUCGGUCCGGUCCGCUAUCGACUCCCGGGUAGGCCGCUCGAGGCGCCGGGUAACCGGCGCCCUAGAGAAAUGACCGUCCCGCGCGCGGUGCAAGCCCCGCGCGGACAGAACCCGGCUUACAGGUCCGCUUCGCGU